UACGUAGGGUGCGAGCGUUAAUCGGAAUUACUGGGCGUAGAGCGUGCGCAGGCGGCUUUGCAAGACAGAUGUGAAAUCCCCGGGCUCAACCUGGGAACUGCAUUUGUGACUGCAAGGCUAGAGUACGGCAGAGGGGGAUGGAAUUCCGCGUGUAGCAGUGAAAUGCGUAGAUAUGCGGAGGAACACCAAUGGCGAAGGCAAUCCCCUGGGCCUGUACUGACGCUCAUGCACGAAAGCGUGGGGAGCAAACAGG
rnacentral:rRNA from 1 species